rnacentral:misc_RNA from 1 species
UACCCUUGACAUGUACGGAAGCCUCCAGAGAUGGAGGUGUGCCCGAAAGGGAACCGUAACACAGGUGCUGCAUGGCUGUCGUCAGCUCGUGUCGUGAGAUGUUGGGUUAAGUCCCGCAACGAGCGCAACCCUUGCCAUUAGUUGCCACAUUAAGUUGGGCACUCUAAUGGGACUGCCGGUGACAAACCGGAGGAAGGUGGGGAUGACGUCCUUGCUAGGUAA